AGCUGUUCCCCUCUGGAGGUUUUAAUUACCUUCACAACUACAAGGGCCCAAGUUUUUCUUGUGGCCCUCUUUUUUUGCCUGG
rfam:Sinorhizobium meliloti 1021 complete chromosome